rnacentral:lncRNA from 1 species
AAAAGCAGAGUCAUAAAUGCAUAUCAUUUCCAAAUAGAUGCCACAGAAAACUGUGGGCCGCCAUAUAGUUUCUUGGGUCAACAUUUUAUUGUAACUGUUCAAGGACAUCGAAAUCAGAUGGACUCAAACGAGCACUACACACUGCAAGGUAGAUUUAUGUAAUACAUGUAGACAAUAUAUACAUGGGCAAACCAAAAUAUAGGUUCAGAUAGCGAUCGCCAAAGGUUUUCUCAUCAAGUAGCAACUCUCACUGAUAAUCAUGAGCCUGACAAUAGUCAUGAUGUAUUAUAAUAUCGGGUUGCAAUGAAAAACAAACAUGCAAGAAAGAAAAGCUCAUCGUCUGCUAUAAAAAGUCUUAUCUUCAAUGCUCGCUCUAAACCAACAUUGAUAACGGAUGUAACUAGAAAACCAAUACUGAUCACCAAUGCAAUGCAACUGCAUCAAACUCACACUGUUUUACAAUAGAGUAUUCAGUUUGUGAACAGAAUUAUCCUCCGCACUAGCGCAAAACAUUGUCUUCUGAGUUAGAGCAGAGUAUCAACAGCAG